rnacentral:rRNA from 1 species
UACGAAGGGGGCGAGCGUUUGUUCGGAAUUACUGGGCGUAAAGCGCGCGUAGGCGGCUUUGUAAGUUAGAGGUGAAAGCCCGGAGCUCAACUCCGGAACUGCCUUUAAGACUGCAUCGCUUGAAUCCGGGAGAGGUGAGUGGAAUUCCGAGUGUAGAGGUGAAAUUCGUAGAUAUUCGGAAGAACACCAGUGGCGAAGGCGGCUCACUGGACGACAACUGACGCUGAGACGCGAAAGCGUGGGGAGCAAACAGG